UCAGAACGUCGUGAGACAGUUCGGUCCCUAUCCUCUGCAGGCGUUGGAAAUUUGAGGAGAUCUGUCCCUAGUACGAGAGGACCGGGAUGGACGAACCUCUGGUGUACCAGCUGUCGUGCCAACGGCACCGCUGGGUAGCUAUGUUCGGAAUGGAUAACCGCUGAAAGCAUCUAAGCGGGAAGCCAACUCCAAGAUGAGAUUUCCCAUGGCCUUCGGGCCACUGAAGACUCCUCGAAGACUACGAGGUUGAUAGGCUGGAGGUGUAAGCGCAGUAAUGUGUUCAGCCGACCAGUACUAAUCAGUCGUGAGGCUUGACCAU
rnacentral:ncRNA from 1 species